AACAAGAAGAUAUGGCUCGACAGUGGUUGGAAUACGUUUGUUGAACAUUAUUCCAUAUGCAUUGGGUACUUCUUGGUCUUCAAAUACGAAGGGAAUUCUCGUUUCGAUGUUAAUGUGUAUAAUCUGAAAGCUUCGGAGAUCGACUAUCUGCCGAAUAAUCUAAAUAAUUCGCCGGAACCGGUUUGUAAUCCGCAUUUAAAAGACGUGGAAGAUGGUGGCUUUGCUGAUAAGAAUGUUGAUGAAUGUCUACAUCAUGAUAGGAAGAGAUAUACGAACUCUACAUGCCUGCAUCCAGAAAAUGAACUUUGUGAUUUACGAGCAAUGUCUUGAUCUACCCGAGACAAAGGCAUUCAGUUUAAUGGGGUUGAGCUUACGAGUACUGGAGAUGAAGUCGGACUGUGUUUCUCGAACGAAACACAACGAAUCAAUGAUGCUAUAAAACAAGAACCCGAUCUGAAUAUGGAUGAACAUGGGCCGUUAUGGAAAAUCAAAGUGAAAGACGAGCUUCCUGCCCCGAACCCUCCUAGUGUUACCCUGAGGCGGAGAGAUGUGACGGUAGAAGGAAAACAGUGUGCGUUUCAUGCGGCUUUGAUGUUCAAACCCGACAAUCCUUUCUGCAGGGUUAUCUUACGACCAUCCUACGUAUACAAGAGAGUACUUCUAGUAAGCUAUGUUACUCAGACUCGCUCCUUUGACAUCAUUUCUCGAUUGGAGCUUCGAAACAUAUUCUAGACUAACGUUGUUUCUCCUUUCGUAUCCACAGUAUUUGCCCCGCUGCUUUGCUCAGAAGUACAUGAACGGAGUCGACGGGGUUAUAACGCUCGGACGAGGGAAAAUGGCCAGUCCAAUGUGUUUAUUGUAACAAUAAUUUGAAGUUCAGCAAAGGAUGGGCCGAAUUCGUCAUGGAUAAUGAUUUAGACGAAGGAGAUGUUUGCAUAUUCGAUCUGAUUAAUACGAAAGAGAUCAUGCUGAAAGUUACCAUAUUCGAGCUUUUCAACGGAGUAAUCCGAUCGUCGACUAGAUAAUACCAUCAGGUACAUCUUCCGAGUAGGUUAUUUUAAUGACAUUGAACUUCACUGUGGUAGCUUAUAAAUGUGUAUAAAAUCCUAGAGAAGUUUGAGUA